AGUGAACGCUGGCGGUAGGCCUAACACAUGCAAGUCGAACGGCAGCACAGUAAGAGCUUGCUCUUACGGGUGGCGAGUGGCGGACGGGUGAGGAAUACAUCGGAAUCUACUUUUUCGUGGGGGACAACGUAGGGAAACUUACGCUAAUACCGCAUACGACCUACGGGUGAAAGCAGGGGAUCUUCGGACCUUGCGCGAUUGAAUGAGCCGAUGUCGGAUUAGCUAGUUGGCGGGGUAAAGGCCCACCAAGGCGACGAUCCGUAGCUGGUCUGAGAGGAUGAUCAGCCACACUGGAACUGAGACACGGUCCAGACUCCUACGGGAGGCAGCAGUGGGGAAUAUUGGACAAUGGGCGCAAGCCUGAUCCAGCCAUACCGCGUGGGUGAAGAAGGUCUUCGGGUUGUAAAGCCCUUUUGUUGGGAAAGAAAAGCAGCAGGUUAAUACCCCGCUGUUCUGACGGUACCCAAAGAGUAAGCACCGGCUAACUUCGUG
rnacentral:rRNA from 1 species